AUUGAACGCUGGCGGCAGGCUUAACACAUGCAAGUCGAGCGGAGAUGAGGUGCUUGCACCUUAUCUUAGCGGCGGACGGGUGAGUAAUGCUUAGGAAUCUGCCUAUUAGUGGGGGACAACAUUCCGACAGGAAUGCUAAUACCGCAAACGUCCUACGGGAGAAAGCAGGGGAUCUUCGGACCUUGCGCUAAUAGAUGAGCCUAAGGCGGAUUAGCUAGUUGGUGGGGUAAAGGCCUACCAAGGCGACGAUCUGUAGCGGGUCUGAGAGGAUGAUCAGCCACACUGGGACUGAGACACGGCCCAGACUCCUACGGGAGGCAGCAGUGGGGAAUAUUGGACAAUGGGGGAAACCCUGAUCCAGCCAUGCCGCGUGUGUGAAGAAGGCCUUAUGGUUGUAAAGCACUUUAAGCGAGGAGGAGGCUACUGAGACUAAUACUCUUGGAUAGUGGACGUUACUCGCAGAAUAAGCACCGGCUAACUCUGUGCCAGCAGCCGCGGUAA
rnacentral:rRNA from 1 species